rnacentral:lncRNA from 1 species
GUACUUACACAAACCUAGAUGGAAUAGCCCACUCUACACCUAGGCUAUAUGGAAUAGCCUAUUGCUCCUAGGCUUCAAACCCGUACAGCAUGGCACUAUAUGGAAUACUGUAGGCAAUUUUAACACAAUGAUCCUGACCCUUGGGAAUGGGAUCUGGAGCCAGUGGGAAACAUUCUCCGAAUAUGAUAAUGUGGUUAUCUUCUGAUGAGUGCUGGCAUUAUCACUUGUUGCUAAAAAACACCAGGCUUGUUUUGAGGUUCACCCGACUCCACUGCAUGUACUACGUGCAUGUGUACCUUGGAAUGGAAAAUACAUGACUAAGCCCUAGACAACUCUGCACUGUAUCCUGCUAUUCUUCCAACUGCAGGACCUCAUGGAGCGAGAGAUCCAAACCUCUCUGAAGUACUUUACCUUCUACCUUUUUCAUGCUACUCAGGAUUGAAUCAAUUGGAAGCCAACAAAGCCAUUCUGUGUUACUGUGCCUCCUGACUGUCAGCACACUGCACUGUGCAUUUAGAUAAUUCUGCCAGAAGGCAUUUUUAUAAAAACAGCUUUCAAAAUCUAUUCUUGAAAAGACAUUUGUAUACUCAUUAUGCCAUUCUAUCAUUUAUCCACAGGGAGUUCUGUAAAUAAAACACUGAGGUCUAAUACUAUAGUAGGGAAAGAGGGAUAGUGGGAAGUGUGGACACUCUGAACCUCUAAGAGUAGUGGAAGAACAAGUAUCCUAAAGGUAACUGAGCAGAUAAAAGGAAAAGACAGGAAGUUGGUCCUGGAAGUAUGGGCAGCGUGAAUACGUACCAUGCUAGAGUCAGAUAGCUGGGAAGACAUGGAACUCAAAUUUGAACCAAAGACUCAAAAGGCUCCUAAGUCUUACUCUUCCCCCAACACUAUUUUUCAGUUGUUUUCAGUGCGCCUAAGAAAAUUAAGUGGCAGUAUUGACAUAAAUGAAGCAACAAGUUUUCUGUCUUCUUGGCUCUUAACAUUUGAUGGUGGAGAACCUGGAAGUAAUGAUUACGUACACGAAUAAAUUUUUAAGAGGCAAACGAGAUCAUUUCAGAUAACAGGAAGUAACAGGAAGUAAAUAAAAGAGGGUCAUGGGAUGGAGUGGGAAAAGGGGAGAGCUAUUUUAGAUGGGAGGAUCAGAGACAGCCUCUUUGAGAAUUGGGUAUUUCAGCUGAGUCCCAAAUGCAGAGAAGGAACAAAGAAUCAACUGCAUUUGAGAGAGAGAAAUCAGGAAAUGGAAAAUCCUUGUGCCAUAAAUUUAUAUUGUUGUAGCUGAGUAACAGAAAUAGCAGUGAGUGAAGAAGAGGGUAGCAAGAAAUGAAGCUGGAGGGUGAAGAGGAACCAGGUCUACUCGAUCUCUUUAGGCCAUGCUUGGAUUUUAUCUGCU